CGGUGAUGGUGAUGCCUCUUGCUGUUUCUGGUAAUCGAAACUUAACUAUUACUACCAUAACUGCUAGUACUAGUACCACUGCCAACAUUGGCGCUGAGGACGAAAAUACUGUUGAAUGCGACUCCCGACCAGGUGACAAUUGGAGCAGAUGUAAUCAUAUAAACCAUGCAGACACGUGAGACAGGUAAUAGAGGACUUAGCAGCGAUAUCGAUUAUAUGCAGUCGAGACGCCGUUUGUCUUGGCUUUAAACUAGCAAAGAAAUGAAAACUUUAUCGGAUAACAGGUGCCUCUUCCUAUUCCUCAAAAUAAUGCGUUGAAAGAUAUCGAGCGAAAUCCUAUGUGGGAAUCACUGUUGAAGUAGAAUCGACGAGCUCAACUACAUAGUAUAAUAAUGUUAGGGCCUUUCUUCAUACUAGUUAGUCGGGAUAAGAGUUUCGUACUGUUGUGUAGACUUACGUAAUUGUCGAUUUUGAAGACUCUGAGAACGACGCACGCACUACAGUUCACGCGGCUGGUUCAACCGCAAAAGGGUUAUUUUUCCUCCUAUGGGGGUGAAGGUGAAGACAGAAUUGAUGGUAUACGUCUCGGAAAACAGGGAAAUGUCGCCGUCACAAAGGCUCAAGUGAAAGUCAGGGAUCGUGAGAACAUCCCAGUGUACGCACCGUUUUCUCCGGAACGGAAUGACGACUCAGUAUGCGCACAUCCACGCGUUCGUAGAUGAUAUAGCCGUAGAAUGAGACGUAUGCAAUGUCCAUACGCAGUGAAAGUUAUUUAUGACCCGACAUUGAUCUAUAGGCAUAACUGUUAUGAGCCAGAGAACGAAAAGCUUCACCAACCCAUUGCGCCGUGCUUGGGAGCGCCAAGUGCAGGAUGUUACAAAGAUCUAGCUGGAAAUAAAUAUCCGCGCGAGUCGUCCUUCGCUCGGAUCGAAAAGUGUGGCCACACCCAGUGAAUUUUUUAAGAUUACGUGUGAAAAACAAGUAACUAGUCAACUAAAAAAAAACGCCCCCAAAGUAUCAGCAGAAUUAUGUGUCUGUACAAACCUGUCGAACAAGGAAGGCAAAAACACAAGAAAGAUACGCGCUGCAGUUCUACUUUUUAAUCGGAUAUUGCCUUGAUGAUAAACUUCGUGCUCCAAUGUUUUCUUUUUUCGACAGAGUGAACACAGCAAAUGAAUCGAAUUUAGGAUGCUCAUUUAUAUUCGAAUUCAGCGAUCGACACACUCUUUCAUGCUGGCAGCCAGACCUCUAAUGGAAUGUCUAACAGCAGCGUCGGACGUAUAGCUCGAAAUAUAGAGAUCUGGAAGGUUGUAGCAUGUAGGCAUUAUGAAGGCCAACCUUUAUUUUACCGAGACCAACUUACUUUAGUUUAGAUUGGUGAAUUUGGCUAAUCAGUCUUUAAAUUUGUUUAUCAUAAAACACUAAGCAUGAUUGAUAUCUUGUGCACGGACCCUUUUAUAAUGCGCAGUGCCCGUACCGUAAGGUAAAAUAUAUUCAUAUAUAAGUCUUUAUCAUAUAACGUACAGCGACAGCUAUUUCCUAAAGAGUAUUAGGCGGGUGACGAAUAUGAUAGUAGCUGUGCACGAAAACGCGUAUCGGCAUGUAAGUUUGUCCGUCUGCUGCCUUCGCAGCAGCCCGUCGUGAAAAACGCUGAAUGUAGUUUCUUUUUAUUU
rnacentral:lncRNA from 1 species